AACGAACGCUGGCGGCAUGCCUAACACAUGCAAGUCGAACGAGACCUUCGGGUCUAGUGGCGCACGGGUGCGUAACGCGUGGGAAUCUGCCCUUGGGUUCGGAAUAACAGCGAGAAAUUGCUGCUAAUACCGGAUGAUGACGUAAGUCCAAAGAUUUAUCGCCCAAGGAUGAGCCCGCGUAGGAUUAGCUAGUUGGUGAGGUAAAGGCUCACCAAGGCGACGAUCCUUAGCUGGUCUGAGAGGAUGAUCAGCCACACUGGGACUGAGACACGGCCCAGACUCCUACGGGAGGCAGCAGUGGGGAAUAUUGGACAAAUGGGCGAAAGCCUGAUCCAGCAAUGCCGCGUGAGUGAUGAAGGCCUUAGGGUUGUUAAAGCUCUUUUUACCCGGGGAUGAUAAUGACAGUACCGGGAGAAUAAGCUCCGGCUAACUCCGUGCCAGCAGCCGCGGUAAU
rnacentral:rRNA from 1 species